CAGGCGUGAGCCACCAUGCCCAGCCUAAAUUUCAUAAUUUUCACAUAAAAUUAUUAUUAUUUUUCUCAACAAUUUAAAAAUUUUAAAGCUAUGCUUAGCCCAUGGGCCAUUCAAAAACAGGUAGCAGGCCAUAGUUUGCUAACUGUGGUGCCAGGCUAGUCUUGAUAAAAGCUGACUACUGAGAGACAUCUUAGAGACUUGCAGGAAUGGGAGGCAUCCACAACGAGAAGGAGACCAUGCAAAGCCUGAAUGACCGCCUGGCCUCCUACCUGGACAGAGUGAGGAGCCUGGAGACCGAGAACCGGAAGCUAGAGAGCAAAAUCCGAGAGCACCUGGAGAAGAAGGGACCCCAGGUCAGAGACUGGGGCCAUUACUUCAAGACCAUCAAGGACCUGAGGGCUCAGAUCUUCGCAAAUACUGUGGACAAUGCCCGUCUUACUGCUGAUGACUUUAGAGUCAAGUUUGAGACAGAGCUGGCCAUGCACCAGUCUGUGGAGAGUGACAUCCAUGGGCUCCGCAAGGUCAUCGAUGACACCAGUGUCACUCGGCUGCAGCUGGAGACAGAGAUCGAGGCUCUCAAGGAGGAGCUGCUGACUUCAUGAAGAACCAUGAAGAGGAAGUAAACAGCCUACAAGCCCAGAUUGCCAGCUCUGGGUUGACCAUGGAGUUAGAUGCCCCCAAAUCUCAGGACUUCACCAAGAUCAUGGCAGAAAUCCGGGCUCAAUAUGACGAGCUGGCUCGGAAGAACCGAGAGGAGCUGGACAAGUACUGGACUCAGCUGACUGAGGAGAGAACCAUAGUGGUCACCACACAGUCCGCUGAGGUUGAGGCUGCUGAGAUGACGCUCACAGAGCUGAGACGUACAGUCCAGUCCUUGGAGAUCGACCUGGACUCCAUGAGAAAUACGAAGAUCAGCUUGGAGAACAGCCUGAGGGAGAUGGAGGCCCACUACGCCCUGCAGAUGGAGCAGCUCAAUGGGAUCCUUCUGCACCUGGAGUCAGAGUGGGCACAGACCCAGGCAGAGGGACAGCGCCAAGCCCAGGAGUACGAGGCUCUGCUGAACAUCAAGGUCAAGCUGGAGGCUGAGAUCACCACCUACCGCUGCCUGCUGGAAGAUGGCGAGGACUUCAGUCUUAGUGAUGCCCUGGACAGCAGCAACCCCAUGCAAACCAUCCAAAAGACCACCACCUGCUGGAUAGUGGAUGGCAAAGUGGUGUCUGAGACCAACAACACUAAAGUUCUGAGACAUUGGGCCAGCAGAAACAUGGGACCCUUUGGGGAGCAGGGGGCCAAUAAAAAGUUCAGAGGUCAUUCAAUGUUAAAAACAAAAAACCAUGAGCCAGGUGUGGUGGUAUACACCUGUAAUCCCAGCUACUCAGGAAGCUUCAGUGGGAGACCUGCUUGAACCUAAGAGUUUGAGACCAGCCUGGAUAACAC